rnacentral:misc_RNA from 1 species
UUUCCGUAGGUGAACCUGCGGAAGGAUCAUUAAAGUUAUAGUCCCCCGGCCCUCUGGGCUGGGGUCUUCUAUACCACCCUUUGUUUAUCGCACCUUUGUUGCUUUGGCAGGCCUGCCCUCGGGCUGCUGGCUCCGGCCGGCUCGCGUCUGCCAGAGGACCUAAACUCUGGUUGUAUAUGAAGUCUGAGUACUAUAUAAUAGUUAAAACUUUCAACAACGGAUCUCUUGGUUCUG